GAUGAACGCUAGCGGGUGGCCUAACACAUGCAAGCCGAGCGGUAGAGUUUCUUCGGAAACUUGAGAGCGGCGCACGGGUGCGUAACACGUGUGCAACCUACCUUUAUCUGGGGGAUAGCCUUUCGAAAGGAAGAUUAAUACCCCAUAAUAUAAUGAUUGGCAUCAAUUAUUAUUGAAAACUCCGGUGGAUAGAGAUGGGCGCGCGCAAGAUUAGAUAGUUGGUGAGGUAACGGCUCACCAAGUCAAUGAUCUUUAGGGGUCCUGAGAGGGAGAUCCCCCACACUGGUACUGAGACACGGACCAGACUCCUACGGGAGGCAGCAGUGAGGAAUAUUGGACAAUGGGUGAGAGCCUGAUCCAGCCAUCCCGCGUGAAGGAUGACGGUCCUAUGGAUUGUAAACUUCUUUUGUACAGGGAUAAACCUACCCUCGGGAGGGUAGCUGAAGGUACUGUACGAAUAAGCACCGGCUAACUCCGUG
rnacentral:rRNA from 1 species